rnacentral:snRNA from 1 species
AUCGUUUCUCUGCCUUUUGGCUAAGAUCAAGCGUAUAAUCUGUUCUUAUCAGUUUAAUAUCUGAUUUGUCACCUGUCUGAAGACCAUAUAUUAAAUUUGGGUGAGUGGCAGCCUAGUGGUUAGGGCGUAGAGCUUGGAAUCCUGAGGUUCUGGGUUGGAGCCCCACUGCCACAGACUGCCACUCUGGGUCCCUGAGGAAGACCCUUAACCCC